GCUGGGCAUGGUGGUGCCUACCUGUAAUCCCAGUGACUUGGGAAGCUUAGGCAGGAGGAUCACAAGUUUGAGACAGGUCACAGCAACUUUAUGAGAUCCUGUCUCAA
rnacentral:sRNA from 1 species